GGAUGUGAGGGCGAUCUGGCUGCGACAUCUGUCACCCCAUUGAUCGCCAGGGUUGAUUCGGCUGAUCUGGCUGGCUAGGCGGGUGUCCCCUUCCUCCCUCACCGCUCCAUGUGCGUCCCUCCCGAAGCUGCGCGCUCGGUCGAAGAGGACGACCAUCCCUGAUAGAGGAGGACCGUUCUUCGGUCAAGGGUAUACGAGUAGCUGCACUCCCCUGCUAGAACCUCCAAACAAGCUCUCAAGAAUAUUUCAGGCACAAAAAUAAAAUACAAUUUCUAACCAGCAGACAAUGAAAACAUAAAUUAAAUUUUUUUCUUAAUC
rnacentral:snRNA from 1 species